UUAACAUAAUUAAAAAAAAAUUAAAAAAUAAAUAUUUGAGUGUCAUUGUUUCUUCUCCAAUGCGCCCUUAUCAUUUACAGAACGAACUCAGAGCUUUCGCCAUGGACGAAUCUUUCCAUUACAAUGUCUGCACUAUUCACCGUCAGCUUUCGUUCUUCUACCAUCGCCGAAAUCUCAAUACUAUGCCCCCGGGGCUCCGAUUCGGUACCCGACGGAGGGCGGCGCCGCUUUCAAAGACGAAUAUGGCUUCUUGGAGUUUGCGAGGGCCACACUUGCUUUGGCGGCCAAAGAACAGAGCUCCGUGAGGGAAAUCGGCAGGUGCGCUUUAGCUAGCGGGAUUAGAAAAUAAAUUUCUCCUAAUUCGAGCUCUCUGUUGCUGGAUAUUUGGGGAAUGAUCGAAUCGAUCUUCAUAGAUUCUGAACUGCAGAGAAAGCAAUUAGGGUUUUGAUCAAGAAUGUGGCCGGCCUUUACUGGAUGCCUCAAUUCUUGAAGCCUACCAUCUGUAUGGAUAAUUUUUGCUGUUGAAGGCCAGUUUGUGAGGCUGCUAGCACUCGAGUUCUGAGAUGAGGCACAAACCCCCAUUGUUUUAGUUAGAUGGAAGAGGAGAUGGGUACGUAGUGAAUGAUAACUUAUAUUUAUAUAGAAAGAAAACUGGGGGGAAAAUAGCAGGGCAUGUGAAUCAUGGGGCCAUGAUAAGACGGUAUGAAAACGGCGGAAAAUGCAGUGAAUAUGAGGCUUGAUUAUCCUUUUUGAGUUUCCUUGGUGCUUCAAUUAGAUACCAAAACUGUGCAGAAGCUGGGCCACACUGACCAUUUAUCUCAGGGAGAAAGAGUGAGAAAGCAGGAGACCCCUUUCUCGACCAACCGACUGUUCAACGUGUCUCUCACUGUUUGACAAUGACACCAAUCGAUCUCAGGUGGGGCGAUCUCUACGCUGCCCCGAGGCUUCUUUUCGGUUGCUAACUGUCUCCAAUCCGGAAGAAAUGGGAUUGAAUUAUGUGGAUCAAUCUUAGUGCCAUGGAAGUGUAACGACCUAAGCCCACCACUAGUAAACAUUGUUCUCUUUGACCUUCCCUUUCGGACUUCUCCUCAUGGAGAGGUUUUCACACCCUUAUAAAGAAUGUUUCGUUCCCGUCUCCAACCGAUGUAGAUCUUAGAAUUCACCCUCUUUCGAGGCCGAACGUCCUCACUAGCACUCAUUCCUCUCUCUAAUUGAUAUGAGAUCUCACAAGAAGGGUAGCUGUCCUUUAUCAUGUUAGGUAAUAGGAUUAAGAAGAUGGGUGAAAGGAGACUGAAAAUAGUACCGACCAAAUUACUUCUUGGACAGUAACAGAGAAGAAGGAGAAGGGCCUCUUGCUGUACUGAAUUAUACUAUCCAGAUUUUGUCUCAUGAGGCUGGCGGUCCCCGGGUCUGCUUCAAAGAUGGGAUGUACUUGAUGGCAUUCUGUGACAAUAUAGAUAAUUGGUGGUAAUGACAAGGAAAGGGAAAGUUCACUUUCUGGAAAAGGAAACUUUGCUGAAAUUGUGAGGGAAUAUGCAAAUUUAGCCAAAUGCUAAAAAUUGAUUAAUGGGGUUGGAGUUUCUUAAUGUUUUAUGGUCUGUGUUGAUCAGGUAGAGCAGAUUUUGGAGCAACUUUUACAAAGUUUGGACCAAAAUGGCGUGCGUGCUUCAUUCAUCCUCUUCCAGGAAAAAUCUCGAACCAUUCUGUGUAGGCAAGUUCAAGAUACAUCCAAUUUACAGGUAGACUUGUGGCCCUCCUCCUUUGUAGAUAUGAAGUAUGCCCAAACUCUUUUUUCUUCCUUUCUUUUUCAAUAUGCCCUUUUCAUACGUUUCUUUCACGCUAGGAGAACCCUUUUCUAUAUUUGACACUAUUGUCGUUUCUUUGUGAAUGCAUCUCUGUUCUGGAAUA